rnacentral:tRNA from 2 species
GCAGUCGUGGCCGAGUGGUUAAGGUGAUGGACUAGAAAUCCAUUGAGGUCUCCCUGCACCGGUUCGAAUCCUGUCGACUGCG